rnacentral:rRNA from 1 species
AUUGAACGCUGGCGGCAUGCUUUACACAUGCAAGUCGAACGGUAACAGGUUAAGCUGACGAGUGGCGAACGGGUGAGUAAUGCAUCGGAACGUGCCCGGUCGUGGGGGAUAACGCAGCGAAAGCUGCGCUAAUACCGCAUACGAUCUGAGGAUGAAAGCGGGGGACCGUAAGGCCUCGCGCGAUCGGAGCGGCCGAUGGCAGAUUAGGUAGUUGGUGGGAUAAAAGCUUACCAAGCCGACGAUCUGUAGCUGGUCUGAGAGGACGACCAGCCACACUGGGACUGAGAAACGGGCCAGACUGCGACGGGAGGCAGCAGUGGGGAAUUUUGGACAAUGGGCGAAAGCCUGAUCCAGCCAUGCCGCGUGCAGGAUGAAGGCCUUCGGGUUGUAAACUGCUUUUGUACGGAACGAAAAGACUCUUUCUAAUAAAGAGGGUCCAUGACGGUACCGUAAGAAUAAGCACCGGCUAACUACGUGCCAGCCGCCGCAGUAA